AAGGUCACAAAGAAUCUCCUUAGAAGACAAGUAUGCCAGAAAUGGAAAUAUCACCACAGUGAGGAGUGGCCAUGAGUGGUGGUUCCCAUCAAAAAGCAUCUGUUGGAAAACCACACUGCUAAAACAUACCUUCGCAAGACCUGGAAUUCUAUCAUUAGACUCCUUCCUUCAGCUGAGCAGCCCACCCAUCACCUGGAAGGUUCUCCCCUCAGGGUCAGGUGCUAUGAGGGAAUAAAAUGUGGAACCUGCCCCCCUCAAACAGCUUUAAAUCUCAUCAAGGAGGUGAGGCUAAUACAAAUAAAAUAAAUUAAUAAAUUUA